AAAUACUUUAUUUCGGAUCAGGCAGUCUUAGAAAAGGGGGGUGAUUGUGGGCCGUGGCUGCUCCAAAGACCAGGGCGCACCCGGGGCUCCGGGGCCAGGCUCCCUGCAGUCUCGGCGGCUUCCUCCUCCCAGUGUGCGAGGGAGGCCGGGAGGGGUCCCUGGGCGGGGAGUUGCUGCGCAUCUGUUGUGUGUGUGCGUCUGUCUGUCUGUUCAGGUCUGUUUCAGACUACGUCUGCCUGUCUGUCCAGGUCUGUUUUAGGCUGUGUCUGCCUGUCUCUCUGUCUGGGUCUCUUUCAGGCUGCGUCGGUCUGUCUGUCUGGGUCUGUUUCAGGCUGUGUCUGUCUGUCUGUCUGGGUCUGUUUCAGGCUGUGUCUGUCUGUCUGUCCGGGUCUGUUUCAGGCUGUGUCUGGGUCUGUUUCAGGCUGUGUCUGUCUGUUUGUCUGGGUCUGUUUCAAUCUGUGUCUGUCUGUCUAGGUCUGUUUCAGGCUGUGUCUGUCUGUCUGUCCGGGUCUGUUUCAGGCUGUGUCUGUCUGUCUGUCCGGGUCUGUUUCAGGCUGUGUCUGUCUGUCUGUCCGGGUCUGUUUCAGGCUGUGUCUGUCUGUCUGUCUGGGUCUGUUUCAGGCUGUGUCUGUCUGUCUGUUUGUCUGGGUCUGUUUCAGGCUGUGUCUGUCUGUCCGGGUCUGUUUCAGGCUGUGUCUGUCUGUCCAGGUCUGUUUCAGGCU
rnacentral:lncRNA from 1 species